AGUGAACGCUGGCGGUAGGCCUAACACAUGCCAGUCGAACGGCAGCACAGUAAGAGCUUGCUCUUACGGGUGGCGAGUGGCGGACGGGUGAGGAAUACAUCGGAAUCUACUUUUUCGUGGGGGAUAACGUAGGGAAACUUACGCUAAUACCGCAUACGACCUACGGGUGAAAGCAGGGGAUCUUCGGACCUUGCGCGAUUGAAUGAGCCGAUGUCGGAUUAGCUAGUUGGCGGGGUAAAGGCCCACCAAGGCGACGAUCCGUAGCUGGUCUGAGAGGAUGAUCAGGCACACUGGAACUGAGACACGGUCCAGACUCCUACGGGAGGCAGCAGUGGGGAAUAUUGGACAAUGGGCGCAAGCCUGAUCCAGCCAUACCGCGUGGGUGAAGAAGGCCUUCGGGUUGUAAAACCCUUUUGUUGGGAAAGAAAAGCAGCAGGUUAAUACCCCGCUGUUCUGACGGUACCCAAAGAAUAAGCACCGGCUAACUUCGUG
rnacentral:rRNA from 1 species